rnacentral:tRNA from 1 species
ACUAUUUUGGCAGAUUUAAGUGCAUUGGUUUUAGAAACCAUUAAUAUAUAAUUAAUUAUAUAUAUAGUA